rnacentral:rRNA from 1 species
AUUGAACGCUGGCGGCAGGCCUAACACAUGCAAGUCGAACGGUAACAGGAAACAGCUUGCUGUUUCGCUGACGAGUGGCGGACGGGUGAGUAAUGUCUGGGAAACUGCCUGAUGGAGGGGGAUAACUACUGGAAACGGUAGCUAAUACCGCAUAACGUCGCAAGACCAAAGAGGGGGACCUUCGGGCCUCUUGCCAUCGGAUGUGCCCAGAUGGGAUUAGCUAGUAGGUGGGGUAACGGCUCACCUAGGCGACGAUCCCUAGCUGGUCUGAGAGGAUGACCAGCCACACUGGAACUGAGGCACGGUCCAGACUCCUACGGAAGGCAGCAGUGGGGAAUAUUGCACAAUGGGCGCAAGCCUGAUGCAGCCAUGCCGCGUGUAUGAAGAAGGCCUUCGGGUUGUAAAGUACUUUCAGCGGGGAUGAAGGGAGUAAAGUUAAUACCUUUGCUCAUUGACGUUACCCGCAGAAGAAGCACCGGCUAACUCCGUG